rnacentral:rRNA from 1 species
UAGGCAGCCUAACAUGCAAGUCGAGCGGACAGAUGGGAGCUUGCUCCCUGAUGUUAGCGGCGGACGGGUGAGUAACACGUGGGUAACCUGCCUGUAAGACUGGGAUAACUCCGGGAAACCGGGGCUAAUACCGGAUGGUUGUCUGAACCGCAUGGUUCAGACAUAAAAGGUGGCUUCGGCUACCACUUACAGAUGGACCCGCGGCGCAUUAGCUAGUUGGUGAGGUAACGGCUCACCAAGGCGACGAUGCGUAGCCGACCUGAGAGGGUGAUCGGCCACACUGGGACUGAGACACGGCCCAGACUCCUACGGGAGGCAGCAGUAGGGAAUCUUCCGCAAUGGACGAAAGUCUGACGGAGCAACGCCGCGUGAGUGAUGAAGGUUUUCGGAUCGUAAAGCUCUGUUGUUAGGGAAGAACAAGUGCCGUUCAAAUAGGGCGGCACCUUGACGGUACCUAACCAGAAAGCCACGGCUAACUACGUGCCAGCAGCCGCGGUAAUACGUAGGUGGCAAGCGUUGUCCGGAAUUAUUGGGCGUAAAGGGCUCGCAGGCGGUUUCUUAAGUCUGAUGUGAAAGCCCCCGGCUCAACCGGGGAGGGUCAUUGGAAACUGGGGAACUUGAGUGCAGAAGAGGAGAGUGGAAUUCCACGUGUAGCGGUGAAAUGCGUAGAGAUGUGGAGGAACACCAGUGGCGAAGGCGACUCUCUGGUCUGUAACUGACGCUGAGAGCGAAAGCGUGGGGAGCGAACAGGAUUAGAUACCCUGGUAGUCCACGCCGUAAACGAUGAGUGCUAAGUGUUAGGGGGUUUCCGCCCCUUAGUGCUGCAGCUAACGCAUUAAGCACUCCGCCUGGGGAGUACGGUCGCAAGACUGAAACUCAAAGGAAUUGACGGGGGCCCCCACAAGCGGUGGAGCAUGUGGUUUAAUUCGAAGCAACCCGAAAAACCUUACCAGGUCUUGACCUCCUCUGAAAAUCCUAAAAAUAAGACGUCCCCUUCGGGGGCAAAAUGACAGGGGGUGCAUGGUUGUCCUCCACCUCCUGUCCGGAAAUUUUGGGUUAAAUCCCCCAACCAGGCCCACCCCUUGAUCUUAUUGCCCCCCAUUCAUUU